rnacentral:rRNA from 1 species
GCAUAUCAAUAAGCGGAGGAAAAGAAACCAACAGGGAUUGCCUCAGUAACGGCGAGUGAAGCGGCAACAGCUCAAAUUUGAAAUCUGGCUCACGCCCGAGUUGUAAUUUGUAGAGGAUGUUUCGGGUGAAGCCGCGGUCCAAGUCCCUUGGAACAGGACGUCAUAGAGGGUGAGAACCCCGUACCUGGCCGCCGGUGCCCCCCGCUGUGAAACUCCUUCGACGAGUCGAGUUGUUUGGGAAUGCAGCUCUAAAUUGGUGGUAAAUUCCAUCUAAAGCUAAAUACCGGCCAGAGACCGAUAGCGCACAAGUAGAGUGAUCGAAAGAUGAAAAGCACUUUGAAAAGAGAGUUAAAAAGUACGUGAAAUUGUUGAAAGGGAAGCGCUUGCGGCCAGACUUGCCUGCAGUUGCUCAGCCCGCCUUUUGGCGGGUGCACUCUUCUGCAGUCAGGCCAGCAUCGGUUUGGGCGGUCGGAUAAAGGCGUUGGGAACGUGGCCUCCCCUCGGGGAGGUGUUAUAGCCCGGCGCGCAAUGCGACCAGCCCGGACCGAGGUUCGCGCUUUGCUAGGAUGCUGGCGUAAUGGCCGUAAGCGGCCCGUCUUGAAACACGGACCAAGGAGUCUAACAUCUAUGCGAGUGUUUGGGUGUCAAACCCGUGCGCGUAAUGAAAGUGAACGGAGGUGGGAACCGCAAGGUGCACCAUCGACCGAUCCUGAUGUCUUCGGAAGGAUUUGAGUAAGAGCAUAGCUGUUGGGACCCGAAAGAUGGUGAACUAUGCGUGAAUAGGGUGAAGCCAGAGGAAACUCUGGUGGAGGCUCGCAGCGGUUCUGACGUGCAAAUCGAUCGUCAAAUUUGCGUAUAGGGGCGAAAGACUAAUCGAACCAUUUAGUAGCUGGGUUCCUGCCGAA